AACGAACGCUGGCGGCAUGCCUAACACAUGCAAGUCGAACGAGACCUUCGGAUCUAGUGGCGCACGGGUGCGUAACGCGUGGGAACCUGCCCUUAGGUUCGGAAUAACUCCCCGAAAGGGGUGCUAAUACCGGAUAAUGUCUUCGGACCAAAGAUUUAUCGCCUUUGGAUGGGCCCGCGUUGGAUUAGCUAGUUGGUAGGGUAAAAGCCUACCAAGGCGACGAUCCAUAGCUGGUCUGAGAGGAUGAUCAGCCACACUGGGACUGAGACACGGCCCAGACUCCUACGGGAGGCAGCAGUGGGGAAUAUUGGACAAUGGGCGAAAGCCUGAUCCAGCAAUGCCGCGUGAGUGAUGAAGGCCUUAGGGUUGUAAAGCUCUUUUACCCGGGAUGAUAAUGACAGUACCGGGAGAAUGAGCUCCGGCUAACUCCGUG
rnacentral:rRNA from 1 species